CCUGGACACCGGACACCUACCCAACCCUGUCCCCUACAGAUCUACCCAACCCUGUCCCCUGGACACCUACCCAACCUAUAAUAAAGGUCUGGGUCAGCCAAUAAAGGUCAGCCAUUAAAGGUCAGCCAAUAAAGGUCAGGGUCAGCCAUUAAAGGUCAGCCAAUAAAGGUCAGCCAAUAAAGGUCAGCCAAUAAAGGUCAGCCAUUAAAGGUCAGCCAAUAAAGGUCAGCCAAUAAAGGUCAGCCAUUAAAUGUCAGCCAUUAAAGGUCAGCCAAUAAAGGUCAGCCAAUAAAGGUCAGCCAUUAAAGGUCAGCCAAUAAAGGUCAGCCAAUAAAGGUCAGCCAUUAAAGGUCAGCCAUUAAAGGUCAGCCAAUAAAGGUCAGCCAUUAAAGGUCAGCCAUUAAAGGUCAGCCAAUAAAGGUCAGGGUCAGCCAUUAAAGGUCAGCCAUUAAAGGUCAGCCAUUAAAGGUCAGCCAUUCAAGGUCAGCCAAUGACUAAAUAGGAAAUAUGGUGGCAUUUGGAACUCAUACCCUAAAGUACAUGAACUAGCCGAUACAGUAUAUAUGAACAUUUAGAGAGAGAGAGAGAGAGACAGAGAGAGAGAGAGACAGAGAGAGCGAGAGAGAGAGACAGAGAGAGAGAGAGAGAGAGAGAGAGACAGAGAGAGAGAGAGAGAGAGACAGAGAGAGAGAGAGAGAGAGAGAGAGACAGAGAGAGA
rnacentral:lncRNA from 1 species